rnacentral:rRNA from 1 species
CCUACGGGAGGCUGCAGUGGGGAAUAUUGCACAAUGGGGGGAACCCUGAUGCAGCGACGCCGCGUGGGUGAGGAAGUACUUCGGUAUGUAAAGCCCUAUCAGCAGGGAAGAAAAUGACGGUACCUGACUAAGAAGCCCCGGCUAACUACGUGCCAGCAGCCGCUGUAAUCCGUAGGGGGAAAGCGUUAUCCGGAUUUACUGGGUGUAAAGGAAGAGUAGACGGCGGGCCAAGGCUGGUGGGAAAGGCCGGGGCUCAACCCCGGGACUGCCUUUGAAACUGGCAUGCUGGAGUGCCGGAGGGGUAAGCGGAAUGCGUAGUGUAGCGGUGAAAUGCGUAGAUAUUAGGAGGAACACCGGUGGCGAAGGCGGCUUGCUGGACGGUAACUGACGUUGAGGCUCGAAAGCGUGGGGAGCAAACAGGAUUAGAUACCCUUGUAGUC